UGUGCAGAGCUAAAGGCUCUGGGGAGGAAAGAGUGAAGGGGGAUGCGGAAGACCAAGAAAGUUUACUUCUAAACAAGUUAUGAAAGUAACGAAAUUACACUUCACAUCAUUUUCUCGCUGUGUUCUCAAACAUCAUUUCCAGUUAGAAAAUUUGUAGUAUCUUUUGACAUCACAGAUUUAUGCAGUUAAAUUGUGACAAAUUAAAGAAAUCUCUAUUACUUUGCCUGCAGUUCAAGUCACUGUAUCUUGAUUAGAAUAGUGAGUUGGUGUGACAGGUUCACUGUUGUGAAAAGCGCUUGAUUGCAUCACUGACAUUACAAAAUGGCUGUAGGCAGUAAGGACACGUCAUGAACGUAUUUGGGCUGCAUUUGGUAGAAAAGAUCUGUCAUGAAGGGGAACUGAAAUUAUCCUGUGUUUGCAGGAAGAAUAUGGAGGAGUGUAACACCUGCAUCAUGAUACCACUCUGGAGAGUGAAAAUAGCAUUUGUUCAACUGGUGUGCAGGAAGUGUGAUUUGGCAUAUCCAAGCGGCUUUUAGAUGAUUGCAGCUUUCCAAGGACUGACUUUAUGGAACGUUACUUCAGUGCUGACAGUGUUAAACCUCUGUGGCUCUAUAUUCUGAUUCAUUAGGAAUCAUCCUCUUUCAUUUUCCAUUUUAGUUCAUAAUCCACAAACUAGGAGUAUCGGUAAACCCUGUUUAGCUUUUCAAACAUCUGGAAGGUGUUAGCAUGAUUUGGCUUACGGUGCUUCUGAGUCUGCAGGAAGUACUAGGCAGAACUCUGGCUUUUUGGCCUACUGAAGAGCAGGUUGUGUCUUCAGACUUGACUUUCUCUUGAUUUUGGACAGGCGGAGUGUAGCAAUGCCUGCAAAGUUUAAUUGACAGACAGCUCAAGUGGAAAUACCUGUGGUUCAGUGCUCUCAGAAGUCAAAUAUAGGGAAAAAAUUGUUUUCUAACUGGGUGGCAUUCAAAAGAACUUUCUGAUCUCACUAAUGCUGCUUACAGUUCACGUCACUACACUUUUAGUGGUAAACUCCAGGAGGCAACACCUCUGAUUCCUUCAUCCAGUGGCUGAAUGGACAAUCAUCCUUACACAUGGUCCUGAAGAAAACCUGUGGUAGUCUGUAAGAACACACUGUUCCCACCCCUAAGUGGCACAAAGGCUGCAAAGGGGCUUCUCAUUGCAGAGGCUGGGAUAAGAACAAGGUACUCAAAGCUGUGUUAGGGUUCUGGUGGUCCUCAGAAUCUGAACUGGGUUUCAGGAAGGAGAUGUUUUGCUGCUCAGCUUCUUGUGAUCAAAGGAUGGGGCUUUAUGUGUCUCACUGUUUCUCCUUGUUGAAUCUGGAGUGUUCUAAGCAAAACUUGCUAAAUAAAGAAGAUUGAAUACAACUCACAAUUCAGAGAAAAUGAGAUAAGAGAUUACUGAACACCAGACAAACAUGGAAGUAUUGAAUAAUUAUGUAAAUUGUUGCAGGAAAUGUUGUAUGAAAUGUAAUUGCAGGUUUCAUGCACGUUUUAAAGCUCUGAGCAGGUUUUGUUUUCAAAUAGAAAUGAUUAAAGAUAAUUUUUCAAUACUUUCACAUGAUUAAUGUAACAGGCUGAUUUUUCUUUGAGUACGUCAUAAAUACCAUCCACAUUGGUGUGCUAAUAUAUGGAGAGUUUUAUUGCUGCAGCGCUUUAUGAAAUUAUUCUUUGGGAAAUUAUAGAUAGUCAAUGAAUAAUUCAAGGGAAAGAAUAACCCAAAAUCUAAUAAAUUCUGUGUAUGAUUGAA